rnacentral:snRNA from 1 species
UUUUUUUUCAUGUACUGUAACUAGCAUAAUAAAAAAGUCUGUUCUUAUCAGCCUAAUAUCUGAUACGGGUUCUUAUGGACCCACGAUAUUAAACCUAUUUUUGGAAGUUGGCGGAGUGCUUGAAGCCUGCUUCACCUCCGCCGCAGGUCGGCCCGGUAUUGCACUACCUCCGGGAUCGGUCCCCGCUCA